CGGGCCUCUUGCCAUCAGAUGUGCCCAGAUGGGAUUAGCUUGUUGGUGGGGUAACGGCUCACCAAGGCGACGAUCCCUAGCUGGUCUGAGAGGAUGACCAGCCACACUGGAACUGAGACACGGUCCAGACUCCUACGGGAGGCAGCAGUGGGGAAUAUUGCACAAUGGGCGCAAGCCUGAUGCAGCCAUGCCGCGUGUAUGAAGAAGGCCUUCGGGUUGUAAAGUACUUUCAGCGGGGAGGAAGGUGUUGUGGUUAAUAACCGCAGCAAUUGACGUUACCCGCAGAAGAAGCACCGGCUAACUCCGUGCCAGCAGCCGCGGUAAUACGGAGGGUGCAAGCGUUAAUCGGAAUUACUGGGCGUAAAGCGCACGCAGGCGGUCUGUCAAGUCGGAUGUGAAAUCCCCGGGCUCAACCUGGGAACUGCAUUCGAAACUGGCAGGCUUGAGUCUUGUAGAGGGGGGUAGAAUUCCAGGUGUAGCGGUGAAAUGCGUAGAGAUCUGGAGGAAUACCGGUGGCGAAGGCGGCCCCCUGGACAAAGACUGACGCUCAGGUGCGAAAGCGUGGG
rnacentral:rRNA from 1 species